GCGAACGCUGGCGGCAGGCCUAACACAUGCAAGUCGAACGGAUCCUUCGGGAUUAGUGGCGGACGGGUGAGUAACACGUGGGAACGUGCCUUUUGGUUCGGAAUAGCUCCUGGAAACGGGUGGUAAUGCCGAAUGUGCCCUUCGGGGGAAAGAUUUAUCGCCAUUAGAGCGGCCCGCGUCUGAUUAGCUAGUUGGUGAGGUAAAGGCUCACCAAGGCUACGAUCAGUAGCUGGUCUGAGAGGAUGACCAGCCACAUUGGGACUGAGACACGGCCCAAACUCCUACGGGAGGCAGCAGUGGGGAGUCUUGCGCAAUGGGCGAAAGCCUGACGCAGCCAUGCCGCGUGAAUGAUGAAGGUCUUAGGGUUGUAAAGCUCUUUCGACGGGGACGAUGAUGACGGUACCCGUAGAAGAAGCCCCGGCUAACUUCGU
rnacentral:rRNA from 1 species